AACGAACGCUGGCGGCAUGCCUAAUACAUGCAAGUCGAACGAACGUAGCAAUACGUGAGUGGCGGACGGGUGAGUAACACGUGGGAACCUGCCCAGCGGUGGGGAACAACCGAGGGAAACUUCGGCUAAUACCGCAUACGCCCUUACGGGGAAAGAUUUAUCGCCGUUGGAGGGGCCCGCGUCCGAUUAGCUAGUUGGUGAGGUAACGGCUCACCAAGGCGACGAUCGGUAACUGGUCUGAGAGGACGACCAGUCACACUGGGACUGAGACACGGCCCAGACUCCUACGGGAGGCAGCAGUAGGGAAUAUUGGACAAUGGGGGAAACCCUGAUCCAGCAAUGCCGCGUGAGUGAUGAAGGCCUUAGGGUUGUAAAGCUCUUUCGCCCACGACGAUGAUGACGGUAGUGGGAGAAGAAGCCCCGGCUAACUUCGUGCCAGCCGCCGCCGUAAAAC
rnacentral:rRNA from 1 species